rnacentral:misc_RNA from 1 species
GAAAUGCGAUAAGUAAUGUGAAUUGCAGAAUUCAGUGAAUCAUCGAAUCUUUGAACGCACAUUGCGCCCGCCAGCACUCUGGCGGGCAUGCCUGUUCGAGCGUCAUUUCAACCCUCAGAACCCCUUGCGGGAUCUGGCGUUGGGGAUUGGCAUCCAGCCAGCCCCGAAAUCUAGUGGCGGUCCCUCCGCGACCUCCCCUGUGCAGUAGCGAUACCUCGCAGCGGGACAGCGGUCUGACCACGCCGUAAAACCCCCAACUUCUCAAGGUUGACCUCGAAUCAGGUAGGAGUACCCGCUGAACUUAAGC